rnacentral:rRNA from 1 species
CUAUACAUGCAGUCGAGCGGACAGAAGGGAGCUUGCUCCCGGAUGUUAGCGGCGGACGGGUGAGUAACACGUGGGUAACCUGCCUGUAAGACUGGGAUAACUCCGGGAAACCGGAGCUAAUACCGGAUAGUUCCUUGAACCGCAUGGUUCAAGGAUGAAAGACGGUUUCGGCUGUCACUUACAGAUGGACCCGCGGCGCAUUAGCUAGUUGGUGGGGUAAUGGCUCACCAAGGCGACGAUGCGUAGCCGACCUGAGAGGGUGAUCGGCCACACUGGGACUGAGACACGGCCCAGACUCCUACGGGAGGCAGCAGUAGGGAAUCUUCCGCAAUGGACGAAAGUCUGACGGAGCAACGCCGCGUGAGUGAUGAAGGUUUUCGGAUCGUAAAGCUCUGUUGUUAGGGAAGAACAAGUGCGAGAGUAACUGCUCGCACCUUGACGGUACCUAACCAGAAAGCCACGGCUAACUACGUGCCAGCAGCCGCGGUAAUACGUAGGUGGCAAGCGUUGUCCGGAAUUAUUGGGCGUAAAGGGCUCGCAGGCGGUUUCUUAAGUCUGAUGUGAAAGCCCCCGGCUCAACCGGGGAGGGUCAUUGGAAACUGGGAAACUUGAGUGCAGAAGAGGAGAGUGGAAUUCCACGUGUAGCGGUGAAAUGCGUAGAGAUGUGGAGGAACACCAGUGGCGAAGGCGACUCUCUGGUCUGUAACUGACGCUGAGGAGCGAAAGCGUGGGGAGCGAACAGGAUUAGAUACCCUGGUAGUCCACGCCGUAAACGAUGAGUGCUAAGUGUUAGGGGGUUUCCGCCCCUUAGUGCUGCAGCUAACGCAUUAAGCACUCCGCCUGGGGAGUACUGUCUCCAUUACUAUAUUUU